CCAGCCAUUCCGCGUGAGUGAAGAAGGCCUUCGGGUUGUAAAGCUCUUUCGCAAGGGAAGAAAACUUACAUUCUAAUAAAGUGUGAGGCUGACGGUACCUUGAUAAGAAGCACCGGCUAACUACGUGCCAGCAGCCGCGGUAAUACGUAGGGUGCGAGCGUUAAUCGGAAUUACUGGGCGUAAAGCGUGCGCAGGCGGUUUUGUAAGUCAGAUGUGAAAUCCCCGAGCUCAACUUGGGAACUGCGUUUGAAACUACAAGACUAGAAUAUGUCAGAGGGGGGUAGAAUUCCACGUGUAGCAGUGAAAUGCGUAGAGAUGUGGAGGAAUACCAAUGGCGAAGGCAGCCCCCUGGGAUAAUAUUGACGCUCAUGCACGAAAGCGUGGGGAGCAAACAGGAUUAGAUACCCUGGUAGUCCACGCCCUAAACGAUGUCUACUAGUUGUUGGUGGAGUAAAAUCCAUGAGUAACGCAGCUAACGCGUGAAGUAGACCGCCUGGGGAGUACGGUCGCAAGAUUAAAA
rnacentral:rRNA from 1 species